GGUCCUAUAGCUCAAUUGGAUAGAGCAUCUGUCUUCGAAACAGAAGGUUGGGCGUUCGAGUCGCUCUGGGACCACCA
rnacentral:tRNA from 1 species